AGCUUGCACAACUUGGAUAGAGGAUAUUAUUCAGAUGUAAGUUUGGCCUAAAAAAGACCUGGAUAGAUCAAAGAAAUACAUAUGAAGAUGUCGCAGGUGACAGAUGUAGAAUUCAGUAUGGCCAGAGAGAAGUUCUUGCUAAAAAAAAGGCCUCUACAUGUGGAAGUGUUUACCCCUCUACGUGUUUGUGUUUGGCUAAAAUGCGUAAUUUUUCUAUGUACAUGUAUGUAUUCCUAUUUUACACAUAGUAAGCUAAAAUUUUGGAGCUAGGCUGCAAUGGUGGAUGCAUCUCAUUGCUUUUACCUAUUUCUUUGACACCACAUCAGAGCAACUUCAUUUCGUUACUAUACAAAUAUUGUAACUUUGAUUUAUGAAAUUUUGGAAGUGGCUGACAUUUCUUAUUUUUGGACU